UUUUCUUCCCUAUUCUUCUUCUCCUCCUCUCUGUCGAUUUCAUCUUCAGUGGUUUGAGCUUGAGUAUCUCGAGUUUAGUUCAUGUAAAGCUUGUAGUUGUUGAAUUGAGGAUGCAGGUGAUGAUGAUGCUGUCGAUUGGGUGUUGGAAGAAGCAGAAAGUUGGGUUUGAGAAAUAAUCGAGUUACGGUUUCAAUUGAGGUUCAAAGAAGAAUUAGAAGAUAAAUAUGAUGGUUUAGGGGAUUGAAUAAGAUGGUUUUAUCAUGGAUUAGAAUAUGAAGUUGAAGAUUGGUUUGAAUUUGAUAUUUAGGGUUUCUGCAAUUGGCUUUGAUUAUGUGUGAAAUUGAAGUUGUUUUUGAAAUUAAAGUUGAUGAAUUAUAACUGAUGAAGAGCUAGGGUUUGAUUAUCGUAUUAAGAAGAUGAUGGAGUUAUCAGUGAUGGUGAUUCAGAUGUUGAAUCGAACUCAGGAGAAGAAUAGAAAAGGUAAUUUAGAGUUCUGUUAUUUGAAUCUGUUUUACUCAAAUUUUGAGUAUGAGUGUAUGAAUUUUGUUUGCGUUGUUUAUUUUGAAGUGAAAUUGAUUUGUGUUGAUUGAUUCUGGAUGGGUUUUAAUUAGAAUUCAGAUAGAGAUGUUGCGUGAGGUUGAGUUAGAGCUUCCUUAUGGAAUCAAGUGUUACAGGUUAGGUUAGUAAUUCAGUUGAAGAUGAAUUAGGAUUUCAGCUAUCUUGAAAGAUAAGAAGAGAUGUGCAUAUGUUUUUAAGAUUUGAGUUUGAGAAGAUAGAAAUUGAGUAUUGAAUUGAUUAUGAUAUAGAGCGGUGGAUUGUAGCUUAGAUUUGUGUUUUGAUUCAGGGAUAAGGAAAUGGUGGUGUUGUUAGAAUUCUGAGUUUGUAUCUAAGAAAUUGAUGUAGCCUUGCAGGAUGUUGAUACAACUUGGGGACGAACUCCAACUGGUGGUGAUGAACUGAGAAUGAGAUGAGUGUAGAUGAACCUGAUUCUAGGGUUAUUAGUUAGUGUCAUGGAGUUAGAGAUGGUGAUGUUAGUGAUCAGAUGUGGAGUUAGUGGUGCAUUAAGAAUGAAAUGAAGUUGGAGUUGCAGGACCAUGAAGUGUCACUCUCUCAGACCAGAUCUGCAGAAGAAGAAAAAUCCUGCCAUUGAAACCAGAGCAGUUGGAGGCACCAAUCUGGAAUUUUAGGUCAUAUUUCACAAGUAUGUUCAUGGAACUGGUAGUUGGAUGAUAUGAAAGCAAAUGACCUGAAAGUAUAAACCUUGUGUCCACUUUGCUGAUAUGAGAGCUACAGAUGUUGAGAAGAUUCUCUUAAAACAAAGAAGCAGCAAUAUGAAGUAGAUUAAGUUCAAGUCUGACGCGGGAGCCUUGGUGCGCACUAAAGGAAAGUAGGAAAGCAGCAUUUUUGGGUGGGGUGUUGGUGCCGAUGACAUGUGGUUGUGCUUGUAGAUGAGGCAUAUGCCUAAGAAAGCGUUAACUGAAGCCAAUGAUGCAAAAACUGGAGGAAGUAAGCUUUUUGGGUCUGGGCAGUAUUAAGAUGCCUUGUUGUUAAGUGUAUGAGCUUGCGUUACAGGUUGUUACAUGUCAUGGAAGUAGAGCUGCUUGCUUCUCAAAUUCGUUGAAACAUGAUAUUCACAGCGUAAAUAUGAGGAGACUAUUAAGGAAUUCGACAAAUCUUUGGAGUUAAAUCCUGCAUAUAUGAAAGAUCUGAUUAGAGAGUGGAGGCUCACGAAAAGCUUCAACACUUUGAAGAAGCUAUGCUAGACGUGAAGAAAACUGUGGACUUGGGUCCUUCAAAUAAUCAAGCUAGAAGAUCCAUUGUACGCUUGGAGCCCUUAGCUGCAGAAAAGCGGGAAAAGAUGAAAGAGGAGAUGAUUACUGGAACUGGCAGCUUACAGGCUGGCGCAAUCAUAGCUUUGAGAUUUAGUGGGGACUUCAGAUUAUAGUGUUGAAUCAGUACCAAGUGUUCAAGGAAACUACACUAUUGCAACUCGAAGCCAAAAUGGAAGCCGCAUCAGAAGAACCAGUUCGCAAGUAGGAGUUUCUUAUAUUCUUCGUAAAUGUACGUCUCUUCUCUUACUUUUGAAACUAAACUAAGUUAAGAGUAUUGAUUGAAAUCUAGAGGAAAUGUAGUUACAAAUGAUAAGCAUAAUUGUUUCCUUCCCUUUCUUUUGUAAAGUGCGGUUGAUGUUUAAACAUGUAUCACUGGAUAUAUCAAUAUUGGAAUUUGAUUGAUUGAUUGAA